GAUUUUUAAAAAGCCUGAAUAUUUAUGAUAAUAAAAGGGUAGAUUAAACAGAUAUCGAACAAACUUUCAGACGAACUGGCAGUACUGAAAUCGAAUUGUCUAUACUUGGGCGCACUGAACUCUUUGACAGUUCGCUAACAAAACAAUUUAAUUUUCAAAGUUGGAAAAGAUAGAAUAAUUUUAUGUUAAACACGAAAAUGGCAAACAACGAGUAUUUUAAAUUGUAUUAACAAAAUGAAGAGGAGCUAAGCAUUGAGAAUGCUGGUAUACUAGAUGAAUUCCCAUCCAGCUCGGAAUCUUCAUCAAGCUCUGAGGAAUCGGAAAGGGAGGAAACCUCUAAAUGCCGAAACUUUUACGAAGUCAUUGAAAGCUAUGGUGAAAAUGAAUUCAAAUCGCACAUGAGAUUGCGGCGUUCGUCCGUGGAAUUUUUAAUAGAGGGAUAUACUAAUAGCAUUGAGCCCAAAACAAAUACUGGUGGAGGAGAAAUUGUACCAGCUAGAAAACAAUUUUAUAUUUAUAUUUGGUACUUCAGUAACACCGUCACUUUUCGGCAGCUUGCUAAUUUGUUUGGAGUGUCUUCUUAAACUGCUGGGACUAUAGUAUCGGGUGUGACUAGUUGGGUUAUAUCGAUUUCUCAUGAAUACAUUCGGUGGCCAAACAGUACUGUCGAAAUUGCAACAAAAAGGAUGUUUGAGGCAAGAUGUGGUUUACCAAAUGUUAUCGGUUGUAUAGACUGCACUCAUAUCCGUAUAAAAGCUCCUAGAGAAAAUAAAGAAAAUUAUUUCGAUAGAAAGCAUACA